rnacentral:rRNA from 1 species
GACGAACGCUGGCGGCGUGCCUAAUACAUGCAAGUUGAGCGAUGAAGAUUGGUGCUUGCACCAAUUUGAAGAGCAGCGCACGGGUGAGUAACGCGUGGGGAAUCUGCCUUUGAGCGGGGGACAACAUUUGGAAACGAAUGCUAAUACCGCAUAACAACUUUAAAAAUAAGUUUUAAGUUUGAAAGAUGCAAUUGCAUCACUCAAAGAUGAUCCCGCGUUGUAUUAGCUAGUUGGUGAGGUAAAGGCUCACCAAGGCGAUGAUACAUAGCCGACCUGGGAGGGUGAUCGGCCACAUUGGGACUUAGACACGGCCCAAACUCCUACGGGAGGCAGCAGUAGGGAAUCUUCGGCAAUGGACGAAAGGCUGACCGAGCAACGCCGCGUGAGUGAAGAAGGUUGUCGGAUCGUAAAACUCUGUUGGUAGAGAAGAACGUUGGUGAGAGUGGAAAGCUCAUCAAGUGACGGUAACUACCCAGAAAGGGACGGCUAACUACGUG